rnacentral:rRNA from 1 species
UACGUAGGGUGCGAGCGUUAAUCGGAAUUACUGGGCGUAAAGCGUGCGCAGGCGGUUCGUUGUGUCGGCGGUGAAAGCCCCGGGCUUAACCUGGGAAUGGCCGUCGAAACUGGCGAACUGGAGUGUGGCAGGGGGGGGUGGAAUUCCGCGUGUAGCAGUGAAAUGCGUAGAGAUGCGGAGGAACACCGAUGGCGAAGGCAGCUCGCUGGGACGGUACUGACGCUGAGGCGCGAAAGCGUGGGGAGCAAACAGG